CUUCAGAUUCUGCCUGCGAAAGCAGCAUGCAUGGUUCAGGUUUCGGACACAGCAAGAGUAUCAUCGAGAAAGUGACAACCACUGAUCCCUGCAAAUACAAUGUAAUCUCUCUCAAGUAAACAUGUUUGUUCUGUGCUAAAAGUGAUUUUGACAGCCAUAGCUAAGGGCUCCUAUACUUGCUUUAAUCCUGCGACAUAUCUUUCCGACUUGGGACUGCGGCUUCUUAGGCACUUCUCUCAUUCAGAACAGUGAAGUCAAUGGAUCCUUACAUCCCAGCUUGACAAGUUAGGAGGAUACAAGCUAAUCCCCUAAUCUGUCUAUUCUCCCGUGCAGUGCCAAAGGGGGAGAGGUACCCAGCACAAGUAAUCCUAUAGAAAAAACAAUAGGAUUAGACCCCAGCUCUUGGAGUGACAAUCAGAUAUCUACUGACUGAUUUGCAAAGUAGGGUCGAGUUUCUUCAAAUUAGCUUUUUUUCCCUCCUCUGGGGAAAAGGUGCCUUUCAUUAACUGCUGGUGGGAUUCCUUUAGGACAGAUGCUGGAGGUCUGCAUGAAAGGCAUGUAUUCUUCGCUUCCAGCACACAAGUCCUGCUUCUCCCACAGCAGAGGCUGAAAGGUGGGGACGGACCAUUGGCCUGGACAACCCCUCCACCUCUUUACCCUCUGUCAACUCCUUUAUGAUUCGAACUCUAAUGCCUUUAAAAAGUGUUUGACAGAUGGAUCAGAUUCCACUGAGGAUACAUGUAGCAGAUCAACAAGACCAAAUGUGAGAUACAAAGGCAAUGUGAGAUAUGCUGCCUGUUUGCAGUCAUGCAACAUGUUUUUUAUUUUUAUUUAUUUUUUCACUUAAUGAGAUUAAAGUUUUGGGCAGUU